rnacentral:sRNA from 2 species
GUACGGGGAAGGAUGAGAAGCUUCGACCAAGGUUCGAUUCGAGCGCAGCGAGAAAGCGUUGCCGCAGGCAACGACCCGAAGGGCGAAGCGCGCAGCGCUGAGUCAUCCUUCCCCCACCACCA